AUACGGUUAGCAAUAUAAUUUUGAACGGAUUGUUAUUUAAUUAAUGCACAUUGUCAGCUAAAUUCUUUGAGCUUCAUAAUAAAGAUAAACGUGUGAUUGAAUUGGGGUAAACACACGCUAAUUAUAGAUGCUAUUGUUUGUAGGUCACAGGUAACCGCCUUCAAACUGACUGCAUGGCCAAUGUUUUUACAACAAUUAACACGAAUGCAAGAUAAGUGUGAAAAUGUCGUUUCUUGAAAAAUUAUCGUCCGGAUAAACGAGUCACUUUUCAAUGAACUAUUAUGUUUUGUAGUAGAAAUUGACAGUCCGGAUACGGAACGCGAAUUUUUCCGGAUUAAUGAGACAAAAUAACAUGGAAAAAUCGGUUCCCAAAAAAUAUCGUCCGGAUGGUGAAGCGUCCGGAUAAAUGGCGUCCGGAUAAACGCGGCGCCACUGUACAUAGAGUCACAUGCCCUAAAUAGUGAAAUCAGUAUGUAUCAAAUUCAGAUAUCAUAUUACUUAACAUGGAAAUGCAAUAAUUUUAUAAACAUUUUUGCAAUCAUAUUUUCAAGUUUAUUCUGUAAAUUUUAAAUACCAAGAAUUGUGCUAGUCAGUAAUUGUAUCAUUUUAUCUGUGAUUUAAAUGUUCCAGUUAAUUAUGCUGUCCUUUUCAACCACCUUCAAAGACCUUUUAAAUUUUUGUAUAUUUUUUUAUUCUUUAAGAAAUUUGCAUUUUAUGUGUCUGAUGUGUAUUAAUUGGAGUUGAAAACUCAACAUAUCAGCACUUUUUGAUGAUCAUUUCACCAAAGAAGUUUUGAAUCAUAGAAUUAAAAAGCGAAUAAGAUACAGUGAUUCUGUGAAACAUUUAACCAAUUGUGAGACGUUGGAAAAAACAUAAUGUUUGCAGUCCUUAUACCAACUAGUAUUUUGACACCAAACUUUCAUCAGUAUCAUAAAAUGUAUUUAGUAUUCAGAUGUUGACUACCCAUAGAUAAAUACACAUAUUUAUAACCAGGUUUACAGAUGGAGAUGAGUUUUGUUGUAAUGUUGUCAUUCUUGCAAGCCACUGGAUUUUAAUUCACUAUUGCUGUUUUAGACAGAUCCUGCUUGAUGCUGCAAUGAGUAGCAGAUUAAAAAACCUUGGCUUGCAACACUGUAUUUGAAUUUAUCAGAAUGGAAUCAGUUUCUAACAUUUUAUGUGUGAUUUUAAUACAAAUUUCUUUCAAAUUUUUGAAAGUAAUUCAGAACUAUCAGCUUAUUUGUUUAUAACCGACUAUUAUUUUUGACAACUUUUAUUCACAACUGGUCAGUUUGAAAUCCAACUGCAACAACUAAUUUUCAUAACUUAAGAUACAUUCUAUGUAAAUACUCCUUUAAGGAAAAGGUUCACAUUCAGAAAUAUUCCCUAGUAAAAGAAUGUAGCAAAAAUCAUGGAUAUUUCUGGCACAUGAUUAAAAGUUGGUUUACAGUAUCUCCCUCAGAAUGUCCUGGAACCUCCGUCUUGUUUGCUUUACAGUAGUGUUACAUUAAUGUUUAUCAUUAUCAUCUAUACAUUAAUGUUUAUCAUUAUCAUCUACAAUGUAAUGUUUAUCAUAAUUAUUUAACGGUAAUGUUUAUUUUGCAUCAUUUCAAGAUUUGUUUCUUUCAUAAAAUUCUGAGAUGCUUUUUCUUUAGUAAUGUUCUGGAGGCUUGAUUGUGUAUAUGUAGUGUUUAUGUUCUGCAAUUUUACAUUAUGAUGUAUUGUUGUCCCAUGUGAUACAUUACUCGUGGCCAUGAUGUUUUUAUUUUUGUACACUUGAGGAAGUGGUUUUGAUCGUUGUUAUUUCAAGAUAAUUCAUGUUUUUACAAUUAAGUUGUCUUAAAUUAAGUUUGGUAAAUAUUUAUCAACAGGUGAUAAUGACAAUUUUGAAAUAUUAAAAUUAGUUUAGUUAUCUAAGUAUAUACAUACAAACAGUGUUUAAUGGGAUGGAUUUUGCAACAUUGUAUAUUAUGUAGGUUUAUUAAAGUCCAGAAGUAGUCUGUUGUUCAUAUGUAAAUGAUGAUUUUUUUUUUUUUUUUGUUUUCAUUAGAGACAGCAAAGAAUGUCAACUGACUGUACUUAUUUGUGUAUGUUCCCUGUCGCUACAAAGCUAACAUGAUCUAUGUGCACAUGCUAUAGAAGGAGUAGAUCAUUUGGCAACACUCUGAGGUUAUAAUUUUUUUUUUUUUUCUAUUAUUUUAUCGAAUAUCAAUGAAUUUUCUUCGUAAGGUAACAUUACUGAACCCUGCAGUUCUAAAACUUUAAAUAUGUUAAUGCAAAAGCCUUUGUACUAUGAAUUAAACAUGGUAUGGCCAUAAGAGACCUGCUUAAAGGGAACAAAGUAGGAUGGCUGAGAUUUUUUUUCUUUGUUUUUUUAUGUCAGAUAUAUAUGGAUAUACAUGUAGUACCCUCUGCAUUUUCAUUACCUUCGACCCCCCCUCAAGAAAACCCUCGCACAGUCUGCAUAUAAAUUUUGACUACAGAAUGCAAGUUUGAGUAUUUGAACAUGAAUUAAACCCAAUGUUCUUAUUUUUUAACUGUUUGAUGAAAGAAAUUUUGUCAUUUUCUUGGCAUGUGUAACACUAUGAUUUUAACAAUGUUGUUGUAUAUUUCUGAAGUGUAACAUGUUUUUAUGUUGUUGUUUUUUUUAUGACCAUUAUUUUGAUUUGUGUAAUAAUCAUUCUAACCAGAACCACCCAUGUGUACAAUAGUAAUGAUAAUCUAACAGUCAGACAGAUCAAUUGACAGUUGUAUUUAUGACAUGUAUUUAGUUUUAUUUAUUUAAUCUGUUGAGCUUUAGAAAUCAGACAGUUCAGUUUACAGUUAUGACAUGUAAUUAGUGUUAUUUAUUUAAUCUGUUAAGCUUUGGCUUAAUCAUUUUCAGAAGACUAUAUCUCGUAUGUUGUUUUUAUACUGCUGUUUAAGUUUUCUGUGUUGACGCUAUGUUAAGGCUGGCUUCCUGCUGUAACGGCCUUUGUCCUAGGUUGAAUUUUUCUUUGUAUCUCCUUUAUGGUCAAACUAAAAAAAAAAAUCCCUUCACUUGAAAAAAAAUCAUCACUUUCUCUCUGAACAGAAGUAUUUGAUUAUUGCAAAUUACUGUUAGAUAAUUGAUAGUUAUUGUAUGAAAUAUUUCUCUUCCAUGUUACUUUCCUGCAUGCCAUCUUGGAGGUGAAACUGGUGAAUUUAAACAUUUGUGGCAGAAAUACAUGUAUAUGGGAAAAAAUCUUUAAAAUACUUAAAUUAUGUUUGAAGGAGGCUUUAACAAAUAUAUUCACUGGAAAAAUUGUUAUGUACACCUUAUGUCGAGCAUGACAAGUUUUAAUAAAUUGGUUGACUGUAAAGGAAUCUCAGGGCUUGUUGACCUCCAAUAUUGUGAGCAAUGAGAAACAACUCUUGCUGAAAUAGCAUGUCAAAAUCUACAUUUAGUGCUUUCAUAGCUUGUAAAGGAGAACAGUGAAGUAUUAAUGGAGGCCUAGAACAUGCUGUGUGUUUUGUAAAUGGUUGUGGUAUUCAUAAGGUAUCAACAUUCCUGUAAUAAAACUACCUGGUGUGCUGGCUUGUAAAAUAAAAUGCCAUAGAACAUAUGGUAUGGGAUAUCAUCUCUCCAUGAUGUCUUUUGUAUAAUAUCAGGCAAAUAUAUACAUGUCAUUUAUUUUUAUGUGACUUGAUAUUAUUAUUAUAACUGUGAGUUACAUAUGUUGUUUUUGUCAUUCCUGUAAUUAUAACUAAUGACUCCAUUACUGCCACUGAUGCUUAAGUUAAAAAGGAUGAUUAAAUGGCUAAAGCACAAA